UACGUAGGUGGCAAGCGUUGUCCGGAUUUUACUGGGCGUAAAGGGCGUGCAGGCGGUCUGUUAAGUGCAGGGUGAAAGCUCCCGGCUCAACUGGGAGAGGUCCUUGCAUACUGGCGGACUUGAGGGGGGUAGAGGAAAGUGGAAUUCCGGUGUAGUGGUGAAAUGCGUAGAUAUCGGGAAGGAACACAGUGGCGAAAGGCGCUUCCUGGCCGUCG
rnacentral:rRNA from 1 species